AUUUACUUAUUUUGAAAGACCCCCAGAGUGGGGAGACCCUCACUCAAGUCUCAGGAUGACGCAACCCCCCAAGAACUCACACAAGACC
rnacentral:pre_miRNA from 14 species